GUCCAAGCCAAAAGCUCCUCUGCGGAGCAACGCGCUGCGUCAGGAGCUCCUCUGGUCCGGCGUGUGGCAGGAAACUACAUGCCCCGCCCAAUGAGGACACCAUGCCAGAGGGAGUCUCAGGAAUCAAUGAUCCUGAUGUGGGCUUCCCUGGUAGCGCAGUGGUUAUGAAUCUGCCUGCCAAUGCAGGAGACACGGGUUCGAGCCCUGGUCUGGGAAGAUCCCACAUGCUGUGGAGCAACUAAGCCCAUGUGCCACAACUACUGAGCCUGCAAGCCACAACUAUUGAAGCCCGAGUGCCACAACUACUGAAGCCCGCAUGCCUAGAGCCUGUGCUCCACAAUGAGAAGCCAUUGCAAUAAGUUCAUGCACCACAAUGAAGAGCAGCCCUCACUCACCGCAACUAAAGAAAGCCUGCAUGUAACAAUGAAGACCUAAUGCAGCCAAAAGUAAAUAAAUAAAAUUUUAAAAAUGA